ACAGGGAUCCCCUAGUAACGGCGAGUGAAGCGGGAACAGCUCAAAUUUGAAAUCUGGCCCUUGGGUCCGAGUUGUAAUUUGUAGAGGAUGCUUUUGGUGCGGUGCCUUCCGAGUUCCCUGGAACGGGACGCCUUAGAGGGUGAGAGCCCCGUACGGUUGGACGCCUAGCCUCUGUAAAGCUCCUUCGACGAGUCGAGUAGUUUGGGAAUGCUGCUCUAAAUGGGAGGUAUAUUUCUUCUAAAGCUAAAUACUGGCCAGAGACCGAUAGCGCACAAGUAGAGUGAUCGAAAGAUGAAAAGCACUUUGAAAAGAGGGUUAAAUAGCACGUGAAAUUGUUGAAAGGGAAGCGUUUAUCACCAGACUUUUUCUGGGGGGAUCAUCCGGUGUUCUCACCGGUGCACUUCCCCCAGUUGAGGCCAGCAUCGGUUUUCGGAGGGGGAUAAAAGUUUCGGGAAUGUGACUCCCUCGGGAGUGUUAUAGCCCGUUACAUAAUACCCUUCUGGGGACCGAGGUUCGCGCAUCUGCAAGGAUGCUGGCAUAAUGGUGAUCAACGACCCGUCUUGAAACACGGACCAAGGAGUCGAACAUUUAUGCGAGUGUUUGGGUGUUAAACCCUCACGCGUAAUGAAAGUGAACGGAGGUGAGAGCCCUUACGGGUGCAUCAUCGACCGAUCCUGAUGUCUUCGGAUGGAUUUGAGUAAGAGCAUAACUGUUCGGACCCGAAAGAUGGUGAACUAUGCGUGGAUAGGGUGAAGCCAGGAGAAAUCCUGGUGGAGGCUCGCAGCGGUUCUGACGUGCAAAUCGAUCGUCAAAUCUGCGCAUGGGGGCGAAAGACUAAUCGAA
rnacentral:rRNA from 1 species